rnacentral:rRNA from 1 species
GAUGAACGCUGGCGGCGUGCCUAAUACAUGCAAGUCGAGCGAACGGACGAGAAGCUUGCUUCUCUGAUGUUAGCGGCGGACGGGUGAGUAACACGUGGAUAACCUACCUAUAAGACUGGGAUAACUUCGGGAAACCGGAGCUAAUACCGGAUAAUAUUUUGAACCGCAUGGUUCAAAAGUGAAAGACGGUCUUGCUGUCACUUAUAGAUGGAUCCGCGCUGCAUUAGCUAGUUGGUAAGGUAACGGCUUACCAAGGCAACGAUGCAUAGCCGACCUGAGAGGGGGAUCGGCAAACGUGAAACUGAGAACGGGUCAGAAACCCUAGGGGAGGAAGAGGACGGAAAGCUUCCGAAAGGGGGGAAGGCCUAAGGUAGAAAGCCCGCGGGGGUGAUAAAGGUUUUGGGGUCGUAAAACUCUUUAAUUGGGAAAGAAAAUAUGUGUAAGUACCUGUGCACAUCUGGCCGGACCCAAAUAAAAAAGCCCGGGUAACCCCGGU